rnacentral:lncRNA from 1 species
GUCUUCUGGGGCCGGAACAAGGACGAGGGCACGCUGCGCGAGGCCUGCGACACGGGCGCCUACACCACGGUCCUCAUCUCCUUCCUCCGCACCUUCGGCCACGGCAGGUACUCGCUCGACCUCUCCGGCCACCCGCUCGCCGGCGUCGGCGACGACAUCAAGCACUGCCAGUCCAAGGGCAUCCUCGUGCUCCUCUCCAUCGGCGGGCCCGGCUACGGCGGCGGCAGCUACUCCCUCCCGUCCGCGCAGUCAGCGGCCGACGUCGCCGCGUACCUGUGGGACGCCUACCUCGGCGGCAACUCCAACACCGGGGUCCGCCGCCCGUUCGGCGACGCGGCCCUGGACGGCGUCGACUUCUACAUCGACCAGGGCGGCGCGGCACACUACGACGAGCUCGCCAAGCUCCUCUACGCCUACAACAAGAACUACCGCGGCCGGCUCGGCGUCACGCUGACGGCCACGGUGCGGUGCGCGUACCGGGACCCGCGCAUGGCGGCGGCGCUCGCCACGGGGCUCUUCUCCCGCGUCCACGUCCGGCUGUACGGCGGCGACGCCAGGUGCACCGAUUCCGGCAGGUACGCCAUGGAGAAGUGGGCGGCGGAGUACCCGGGCAGCCGGGUGUUCGUCGGGGUGUCGGCGGAGGACAAACAUGGUGAUACGUCCACCGGAGACCUCAAGGACCUCUACUAUGGUAUCCUGCAGUUCGUCGAGAAGCUGCCCAACUAUGGAGGACUCAUGAUCUGGAACAGGUACUACGACAAGAAGAACCACUUCAUCAGCCAAAGCUAAUUAAACAUGCAUGCAUCCGUGUUCAACAGCAUGCAUCCAGUCAUAUCCACCCGGUUCACUUCGGCUUCAUGAUCCUCUUUUUCCUUCUCCCUUUUUCUUAAUUUCAUUUUUUAGAUAACGGAACAAAGUUUCCUUCGCCUGUUUUUAAUCUUGGUCUAAAUAAAGAGGAGAUAUAGUACUCCAUAUCUGCAUCAUGUCUUCUGUAUGUGUUUAAUGUUUUUAUAUUUGUUGCUAUAUACUAUGCCAGAGGGUCAGUCUAUUGUUCCUGUCUUGACUGUACCAACGUGUUGGACAACAACAUUAAUGUGGAAGAACCACUACAUACUGCAAUGUGCAUGUGGUAUGUGUAGCAGCUUAACUUGGGACCCGGCGGUUCACUUUACAACAGUACUACCAAGAACAUUUACAAGGUCAACUAAUUUUUAUGCAUGUGGUAUAGAUGUCUACCUUUCAAGGAAAGCGACUGACAAUAAACCCCCGCCUAUUAAAUAAUCUUUUCAGAGACUCCGGAUGAACUUUUUUUUACGAAAGAAGAAUUAUAUUAGAUAAUAGUUGGCUACAUGAAUACAUUACAAGCACAAAUAUUAAGAAAAAAUUAUCUAAAUUAUACCCAAGCUGUGAAUAGCUCUAGAUCUCAAAAUCAAACCUAUACGACGCUUUGCAGUAUAGAUGACCUUACAGGCAAACACUCGGUAAAAAACCUGAGAACAGAUGCCCAACGAACGAUGGCCAAUAUUCAUGUAGACGGAGUUGGGAAACUUCUUCUUUCUGGUGUCUUUCUUCUUCUUCUUCUUCUUCUUCUUCUUCUUCUUCUUCUUCUUCUUCUUCUUCUUUCUACCACUGAAGAAUGAGAAAGACUGAUCUGAAACUUAUUCUCCCUAAUCCUUCAUCGUGGCCGGAUCUAACCACAAUAAAACAGAGAAGAGACCGGAGAAAAUUAUUUUAUGGCGGCGACACCAUCUCCGUCUUGAUGUCGCCGUCCGAAAAUAAAAGUCUCCAUAUCCUCAAAUUUGAGGAUACCGACACCGUAGUUGUUGCCUGCAUCUUCAACAGAGACGCCAUGGAGAGAAUGGUUUCACCCUACCAUCUCACCGUCGCCGGAGAAGAGGAGGGGGAAACAAAUCCCUAAAUCCAAGAAACUUGGCAUGGAGAGACCCUAACCCUAAAGACUCGAUCUAGUGAAAAAACUUAUUAAAGCUGAUGGAUCCCCACUCCCUCUUGCCUUUGGUGAUUAUCACCGAAGGGGGAGGGAGGGGGACCAACGAUGAUGGUGGUAGGAGCGGCGGUGGCGAUAGCAAUGCUGAGACACGAGCCCUAGCAACUUUUCAUCUCCUGUUGCAGAAGUGUUGCCUUGCUAGGCCACCCUUGAUGAUCUAUAGAAAGGGAGAGUGGUGUAGUUCUGGUGGCGAUGGAUCAGCGUUCGAGCUCAAGCUAGCCUUAAUGAGGUUGCCAAGAAUUGUCCUCCCCCACUGCCUUUGUAGAUCUUGGCACCACCAUCGUAGAUCUUGGUGGUUUUGAGGGCAUCUCUAGUAAUCCAGCUUAGAGCUACAUGAAUCCAUUUUUAAUUAUUAAAUAGUACAAAAGACAAGAGACUAGUGUGGACUCAAGAGAUAGUCUUGCAUAUUUCACAAUACAUGUCACUCUCAGAGCAUGAUGUUUAGAGUUGUUUGCUACAGUCUCUCUCCUCCAUAUUUAUUAGUAGCUAGCGCUAACUCAUAUUGUUGGAUUGGAGACGCCCUAAGCAUAGCCACCGACCUGAGGCCACCAACCAACUGCUCAAAGAAGCCUAUCCCACAACACCGUCGACCCUGUGCGCUACCAUAUCAAGAUCUAAGGCAUGAAUGAGAGAGAUGGCAUGGAAACUAAGAUGUGAGAAAGGGGAGACAGAUGACACGUGAGAGACGUAGGAUCAAGAUGUCGAGCAUUAGGUGUCGCGCUAUCGAGAUAUGAGGCUCCAACCAUGAGGGCGUUGACCUCUCAAGAGCAGCACAACCAUCAAUCUCCACGGGGGGGCAGAAGGUGUGUAGGGGGUGGUGGGGUGUGCGUUGAAGCCUGGGAUGAUCCAAAUGACGUUGGUCAUCAGAUCGAGUUGAAGCCUUUGAAGGUGUAUUAGGAGCCAUUGAUCUUAAUGGUGCUAAAAUCCUAGGUACAAAAUCUUUGGUGCAUAAUGGUUGGCUAUCUCAGGCGGGGAUGCAAAUUUGGGUGUACCUAAAAUAAUUUAGGUUGUUUCCUUAUAGUAGAGAUUGACAUUGUUAUUUGAUGGUUCCCAACAUUAAGAAUGUGGGAGCAUGGCCAGCCCCUAGGCACAGCUCGCAGGCGACCCCAAGGCAGCGCACGGCUUGGCCGAGCCCUAGGUAUACUUGGCCAGAAGGCCCAAGACCCGAUGGCACAGCCUAAGCACGACAUGACUCUGUAAGAGCAGGAUCAAAAUCACACACUGAUUUUAGUGGCUAAACCUAAAGAGCUUGAGAUCAAACCAAAGAACGCGCUCAAGAACACAAGAUGAACCCAACUGGCAACUGUCGACAGGGUAUGACAGUGCCCUUUUUCACUGGCUAUAUUUCAGAAUACAAAGCACGAUUACAAAUGACCAAGCAACCGCAACAUAGUGUGACACCCAGGCUUUAUAUACAGCCUUUACAACACACACACUCACAUAGAUGAAAACAGCUAAAACAUGGAUACAAGACACCUAAAAUGCAACUGCUGUUACGUUCACGCGUCGUGGGCGCGCUCACCGCGCACUGCCCCGCUCCUCCAUUCAAAUUGGGCGCUCCCGCCCACUGCUUGGUAAAACAGCUUGUCCAGAUGGCACCUCUGCCACGUGCACACACUGGAUUAGCCCCAACAGACCCUCGGGCCCGGGCCAGCCUGACCUGACCCUAGGGUCAUGCCUGGGCCUAACAAUUGGCAUGGUGUGCUGGUCUGGCCCGAAGAUAUCCCUUAACAUAGAGAAUUGAGUUGAUCAUAUGGCUUUGUGGUUCCUCAGAGUUGAGUUGAUAAAUUAUGUGACAAACAUAUCCCAUAAUGGAUAAUUAUGAUGAUUAUAUAUCAGUUUUGAAAUUUGUUGUAUACAUAUUUUCGUUAUGGGGAAUAGGGCACCAAAUUAGAUAACUGAUAAGAGAAAUGUAAUAAAAUUUGUUUAAGGCACUUGAGGAGAAUGGAGAUAAUUCGUGCCUGACUUUGCAACCCUCUGCGUACAUGUUUUACACAUAUGGGCAAUCCGGAUGUGGCAUAGGAAAGUGGGAGGAUUGCUUGGAUCAAACAAACUGAUAUGGUACAAUAAAAGUAGUGCUUAGAUUGAAUACUUAAUAUUAUUAUGUUUCCAUUCAUUGUUCUCAAAUUCUAUUUGUUGACACCACUUCUAGAUCCUUGAUAGUGAUUUCACCUAUGCUGCAAGUUGUUUUCCAGCCAAUUCUACAGCAAACCGUGGAGCUACUCCGGUACCACUGGUACUAUGCAGGUGCAUCGCUCACUACACAAAGAUAGUAGAGUCAUUUGUAUAUUGCUUUAAAACCCAACUCAUUACCAUUUAGACCAAUAUGUUCCAUCUUUGGUAGUCCAUGUGCUAGUGUGUGUGAAGCUGGAAUGUAGGUCCUCAUUGGCAGCAUCUUUCUUCUCAAGCAGUGAUGAGACCUUCUUGGACAUACCAUCUUGUGCCGUAUCCAUGUACUAAGUGACCAAAAACUUACGGAAUCCUGUUUAUUUAGUAUGAUGAUUUUUCCCUUCAUUUGAGAAAAGGUGCACAUAGUUUUCUUGUAGCAGUUACUUCCACAGGCUGUUUUCAGUUACUCCCUUUACUUGUCCUGAAUUUCUGCACCAUUGUCUUGUAAAGCAUUGUUGCUUUAAGUCCUGAAAUUACUUACAUUUAGAAGGUUGCCCUUUGGAUUCCUUCUCUUUUGGUUAAUCUUCUUUUUAUCAAUCAGAGUCAUCUUAUGCUUGAGGCUUGUGGCGCACAAAAACUUCACGUCCUCACAAUUAUGAAGCACUGCCACUCUGAACUGACAUCAACUGACAACAGUAUCAAGCAUCAUCGGAAAUCCCAACUACUGCAACCAAUAUUAUUUGUGGGUGUGCCACUUCUGUUUUGAUAAUUUUGUUUUAUCAAUUAGAGUUAGAUUUGUAUCAUGUGGGUGUGUUUAAGAACAUCAUUCUCUACUUCUAUUCAGCCAAGAGUUUCAGCAUAGUUUUUAUUAGAAAAUCGUGUUUACCAUUGUUUGUGUGGAGAAGUGUAUGUGCCAUUUCUGGCCAACUAUUGUUCUUUUUUGAGUGGUAGAGGCCAGCUUUAGUUAUUAUUGUCUUGUGUUGUCAAAUAAAAGGAAAAAACAUGACUGGUAGAAAAUAUCCUUUUGUUUGAGGUGCUCGAAGAGCAAAACUAAAGUAACUUUCUUGAAACAGAAGCAUGCUAUACUUCUUCUUGUGAGAGCCCAACUUUCUACUUUACCCAAUUCGUUCCGCUUACAUGACUUGAGCUUCAAUCUUAUUUUAUAUGCUGUCAGUCUAUAGAAAUCUUCCCUGCUUGUGUCUGGUGGUACUUCUUUUAAAAGAACAAGUUUCAAGCAACAAAUGGUUUGUUUAGAUAAUCAUAACAUGAGUAUGCUCUUGGCUCCAUCUUUAUGACAAGAAACAUAAAUCGUUAACAAAAUAUGUAGAUUAGCCAUGGGUGUAAAUAUUGAAAUCUUGAAUAUGUAGCCUUGCUUCAAUCCUUCACAAGAGCAUCCUCAGAUUGAAUAGGGAGGGGGUGGUAAAUUAUGGUAAUAUAUGCUGGAGGCCCGUAGUGCACAAAAACUACACAUACAGUUCAGAAGCAAAUGGCCAAGGUUUAAUUAGAGAUAGAAUUUAUGUUUUGGAUACUUCUAUUGGUACUAAAGCUUUAAAUUUCUGCUAUUUGCAAUCUUGACGAUACAUUACUACAACAUUCUAUUUCUCUACUGCAAAGAUAUUUGGUAGGCUCUAAAUGUGCAAUGGAUUUGCUUUUGUGGGAAAAAAAAAUAAUGAACAAAGUAUAUAAAAAGUAAAGACUUUCUUCUUACAACUGUGCAUAUGUUUGACCCACCAUGCGCACUUCUAUCAUCCAUGUGCAUUAUUCAAAAGGAGGCAGGCAUGCCAUAACCGGUUGCAUGCUCCUUUGUCUUCUUGUCCCUCCCCAUGCCCCUCCUACUCUGACCCAUCCCCGCCCUCCACUGUCAGUGACAGCUCCCACCACCUCACUACGCCACCCACCCCCCACCCCCACCCAUCAACACCGUCCUGACCUAACCUCCAUAGCAAUGUGCCUCCACUGUCCUCAUCCUCUCCCCGCCCCCACCACCGGCGCUCAGUGGCUCCCGCUGCCUCGCUGCGCCACCCACCUCAUGUCCGCACCCCUCAUCCCUACCCACCGUAAUCCAAGGACAAGGCAAUAUGAGCUCCACUGCGAUGCCCUCGUGGCCAUCUCGCCUACCUCGAUCAUUGUGUCAUGGCUGGCCUUAUAAGGCCACCGGGGAAUGGAACCCUAAUCCUGCCGGAACCCUAACCCUAACGCCAUCGUCGUCUUCUUCCUCUUAGGUGAGCCCCUCCUCUUCUUCCUCUCCAGUGUGGUGUAGGCGUGGUCCGUAUUCAAAAUUCUUCUCACUCGUCUGUGAUGACACAUCGAAACUUCACAUGCUAUAUAUCAACCAUGAAAUGUACUGUAUUGUUGGCAUUGUAAAUGAAAGUGAAUUCAACAGAGGGAGUUGAAGAGGAUGUCUAUGAAUUGAAACAUUGGUAAGCGCACCGAGUCAUUUCAUCGCCCUUUUCUUCCUACGUUGAUGCCAUAAUUUGGUGGGUUGGAUUUGUUGUUAAAUUUGGUUUUUGGCAAUAUAUACCCUUUUCUCCAUUGGCUAAUUUAGUUUGUGAGCAAAAUAAAUCAGUUGCUAACAUGUAUUUUCAUUAAUCUAUUGGCUAUUCGAGCAGCAGGAAGUGCAAGGAGCAGAAACAUGGGAGUUCUUCUAGAUUAGCAAAAGUGCUGACUGGUGGCAACUUUGCGUUGGGAUAUCAGGAGCUAAUAACCGAAGAUCACACAUGGAUUAAUGGUAACUCUGGUGAAGAAACACAGUCAGAAAUAUGUGCAUCAUCCAGCAUGGAGAUCACACAACAUUUUGAUGCACGCUGGAGUCUCAGAGGAGAUGAGAAAAGGUUUUUCCACCAACUAAUUAUUUGGCUGGAAGGUGCAACUUCUACUCGGAAUGGGUGGUAUGUAUCAGGAGCAAGGCCAACAAAUCAGAGGAUUUAAAGGGAUAUUCUAUUCUAUUUCCAUACAAAAUAAAUACUCAUACACGUAUCCUAUUUUGUUUACUCGCAAAAUAAAAAUCUGGCUCUAAAAACACCCUUUUGUACUUCUGCCAAAGACCAGGUGGACUUAUAUAUAUUAUGUGGUGGGGGAAAUUGUUUUUUCUCUGAUCAAUCGUUCAACAAAAUACAUCUAUUUCUUCGUCUGCGUUCUGUUUUCCAUUUCUUAACUCAUUAGUUCUUGCCGAGCCCUAGUAACCCUAGGGUUUGGUUGAUCUUUCCCGUUUUGUGCUGAAAAAAUGGUCGGCUUCGCACCACGAAAGUGAGAAGCCUUUGUUGUUGCUGGGAAAGUAGUCGCUCAUCGUCAAGGAAGCACAAUAGUUAUCAUGUUGUUGUGCAGAUCAACUAUGUGUGCCAACAGCAGUGACUCCGCUAGGGGAAGAAGAAUAAAAACAGACAAGCAAUGGACACAGCCCCAAGGGCAGUAGCAAGAUCUACCCUGACAAUGUCAUUGCUGUCAUUCUCAACAACCUAUCUGAUGAUGGACGGCGCGAAAUUGAAUGGGAGCUCGAGGAACGGAUGUUGGAGAGUCUAAAGCAAAAGUUAGCAGUCUUUUAGAAGAUGAGGAAUGGCGUCAUCAGCAAGGUAGCUGCACUGAGGUAAGUAAAUCAAUGUCCGCUGAAGAAAUUGUUCAUCUAAAUCAAUCGGUAGCUAGUAAAUUUGGUGCACAUAUGGAACAUAUGAUACACACAAUGAACAAUUCUGUAUUGGGUUAAUCUGAUGAAUUGAAGGGACAAUUAAUCAAGAUAUUAAAAAUAGUUUACCAUGUCAAAUUUGUCCAGCAGUACUACAACUGAGUGUGUGGCUGAGAUUCGGCAACAAAUGCUAGUGCAUAGAGGAGACAGAAAGCUUUGCUGAUGUGAGGACUAAAGAUCGGAGGAAAAAUGACUUUUUGAACCUUAAGUCGUAUGGAAUAUGAGAGAUUGUGGUUGUGUCAAGAUCAACGAGAUGAAUCUGUUUACCAUUAACAUGAUUCGUUUGGAUGCCAGAUGAAUAGAUGAGCUAUUAAAUUUGGACCGUUCGAUAUGGCUUAGGGUUUCUCGUUCUUAUCCAAUUUGGAAAAACGUGUACCACCAUUUUUGCUUUGUCUUAUUGGGUACAACCUUGGCUUUGUGUUGCCUCCCUGUUUGAGGCGUCCCUUCAUAACCCUCUAAUCAGUUGUUCAUUGAAAAGUCUUUUGUCAUCAUAAAUAUUGUUCAAUAUAUAGCAUCUUAGUGAAAAUAGAAUCCACAUGGUGUAGGGUUAGCCUACACAACAAGGCGCAUAUAUUUGCAGUGUCGGGCAGCACUGUGUAAGUAGCCUUGCUGAACAUACAACAACCCUAAAUGCACCAACCAUGACAAGAUCCCUCCCAGGCCCGUGGUUGUAGGUUUUCUGGCAAAUCUGAUGACACGGAUGGUCCAGCUUUGCAAUAUAGAUGGUCCAGUUUUCAUGAGCUAAUUGCAGCCUCAUUGAUAUGCAAUCCGUGUGUUCUAGCAAUUUUGUUUGUGUGAUCAUGUUUUGCACCAACAAUAUUAUUGUCCGCAUUGUAAUUGUAUCCUCAGCAACAAGUCCACACGUACAAGCAGCAACUUUAUGCUACCAACUAAUUUGUGUUGUGCACCUUAUAGCACAGAAGUUUCAUUGACUAGAAUUUAUGGAUGUGGAAAAGUUAAUUAACUUCACAGUGAAGACCAUUAAAAUAGAUGAAAAUGCAAAAAGGUAAAGUAGAAAUUCAAAACAAGUUCAAGUUAUCUGCUCCAACAUACAUGGCAUGGAAACUCAUCCUGGUUUAGUGACUUAUCUUUUCCAUGUUUUAUUGCUUACAAUAUACCUUUUUUUUUCUUCAAAUAAUGAAGACACCAUCAUCUAAAGAGUAACCAAUGAAUUCUUUCAAUAGCAGAUUAUAUGAUAAACUCAUUUUGCACCAAGGAGUACAACAUAAUAGCAAACUAACAUGAUGACACAAUAUAUAGUGAAAAGACACAUAGGUUGAGAUGGCAAUAAUAGGUACUAGCAAAAUAAUAGAUAAUAACUAAGGCAGCUCUUGCCAUGAGGUGCAUUCAUGAUAAUUCUCUCCAUCUCUUUGUUGUUCAGCUCCAGCAGGCAGAUCCAGCAUCUGCAGGAUCCAUGUCAUCAUCUUUAUGAAAUUUGAGUGUAGAGGCUAUGAUCGGAUACAUCGUAGUUUUCUUCUUCCUGGGCUUAGCUUUCCGCAGAAUCUGCAAUAUGGCAGAUCAAGUGGGAUAACUUAUUACAAGACAUAGCAUAUAUGAUAAUAAUACUAUAUGGAACUAGGAUCAAAAGUUUCCAUCUUGUCACCUUGCCGGCCUUCUUAAAUGCUGCUUUCACCUUGCUGACCAGUCUGGUCCUCUUCUGUGACAUGUACUCCCUUGGUUCUCCAGAAACCAAUGUUUCCCUGUUGUCCAUCUGUGUCAAUGAACAAAAUCAUAGCAAAGUAAGCUGCCUGGAUUUUCUCAAACCCAUGCUGGAACGAAUCGUUAUAAUCAUCUGUUUCGACUUAGCACAUCAACACUACUUUACAAAACAUGGAAUGCAAAUUAUGUAAAUGUAACGCAUCAAGGACCGCUUUAGUGCUGCCACUUACCGCAGAGUUGGCUGCUUCUUUCCUUAUGGAAGUUAGGUCUUCAAUGGCAGCAUCUUUCUUCUCAAGCAGUGAUGAGACCUUCUUGGACAUACCAUCUUGUGCCAUAUCCAUGUACUAAGUGACCAAAAUUAGUGUUGUGUUUUGAAUGUAGGGCUUGUUGCCUUGGAAGAACUGUAGGAUUGGUUUGGCCCCCUAUUUAUAUACCAUAUAGCUCAAGAUAAGUGUUGCAUGAAAGAAAAUCAUGCUAACUUUCAUUGCUUGCGUGGCUGCACAUAAUUAAGGUUAUCAGUUUCAUCAGUUGCUGUCCAGGAUUUCUGAAAGCAGUUAAUACUUUUGAAUAAAAGGUGGUUCACAUGAUUUUCUUCGGCCAGAUCUCAACUUACGAAUCCUGUUUUGAAUAAAAGGUGGUGCACAUAGUUUUCUUGUAGCAGUUACUUUUACUGGCUUCAGUUACUCCUUUCACUGUCCUGAAUUUCUGCACCUUUGUCUUGUGAAGUGUUGUUGCUUCUUAAGCCCUGAAAUUACUUACAUUAGAAUGUUUGCCUUUUGGAUUCCUUCUCUUUUGGUUAAUAUUCUUUUCAUCAAUCAGAAUUACCUUAUGCUAGAGGCUUGUGGGACACAAAAAACUUCACGUCGUUAAUAGCCCCUGCCACCACUCUGAACUGACAUUAACUGUCAACACUAUCAAGCAUCAUUGGGAAUGCCCACUACUGCAAUCAGACACUAAUGUGCAUUAGCCACAAUGAGUUAAUAGGCAAACUUAUAGAGAUUCAAUACGAGGGGGUAAUAACAUGGAAAUGUGUUUUAAGCAUAACAUACCAUUUCUGUGAUACUAAAGGGGUAGUGACCAAUGACAUGAUCAAGGCUUACUCUAAACCAAUAGUUGCACAGAAAGGUUUAAUUAGAGAUAAAUAUUAUGUUCAAGAUACUUCUGUAUAGGUAAUGAAGCUUUAAACUCCUGCUAUUUGCUACCUAGAGGAUAUAAAUCUCCAAAAUAGCAUUGCUACAGCUAGCAAUCUAUUUGUUUAAUGCACUGAUAUUUGUUAGGUGUUAGAAUAUCUCCUUGGUCUUGUGUUAAUUACUCCUAGUCUCCUAGAUGUAUGCGCAGCCUCCCAGGCUGUCUUGGCACUUUGGGCUAUCCUGUAUUCCCUAUAUAUAUGUAAUCCCUCCUGUAAACUCAUCUAAAGCAAUACAAGCCUAUUGGCCUUCCUCUAAUAUGGUAUCAGCUUUAAUCCUGGGCCUCUAAUCCCCGCUUCCGCACCCCUCGGCACGCGUGCUCGUCUCGAGCCAUGCCUGACCUCUCGUCUUGCAUGCCUCUCCCUGGCCGCGCGCACCCUCCCCCUCCCGUCGCAAUUGCGCGCCUCCGCGGCUGCGCCCGCGUCCUCCCAUCGCGUCCAUGGCUCCCUCCGGCGACUACUCCUCCAGAGGCUCGGCCGUCGUCACCGCAGCCAAGCUCCGCAACAAGGCCCUCGCUGCCGCCAAGACGCUGGAAGAUGAGGCCGCCUCCCUAUGCUUCUCCAACACCGAGCGCAGCGCAUAGCUCCAGACCGAGGAUGACCUCCUCAAGUCCGCCGCCGCCACCCAGGAGCGCGUUCACAUCACCGCUGCCGCCCUCGAGCAGGAGCGAGCGCAGGCCGACACCCUGGAACAGCAGGCUACUGCCCUCAGGGACCGCCUUCGCGCUGAGUCUCUCUGCGACGAUGACUCCCGCAACGACGACGCCGCUCCAUCGUCUGCUGUCGCUCAUCUACACAGCCAAGCUGCUGCCAUCCAGAACAUCAAGAACCUGAUCCCAAUCAUUCUUGAUCUCCAGUCAUCCAACUACAGCAAGUGGCGCGGCUAUGUCCUCCUCAUCCUUGGUUGAUUCGAGUUGAAGGACCACGUCCUCAGCGACACCUCUCGCUUCCACGACCUGGCAUGGUCCCGGAUGGACUAUGUUGUCAUCUCCUGGCUCUUCAACACCAUCUCCCCGGACCUUCCGGAUGUCAUCCACGAGUGCGACGGCAUCUCCCCCCGAGCAGCAUGGCUCCGCAUUGAACAGCAGUUCCUCAACAACAGUGAGUCCCGCGCCAUGCUUCUUGAUGAUGAGUUUCGCACCCUCUCCCAGGGUGCUCUCUCCAUCGACGAUUACUGCCGCAAGAUGAAGGGCAUGACUAAUGCACUGGCUGACUUGGGCGAGCCUGUUCAUGACUGUACUCUGGUGCUGAACAUACUACAAGGCCUCAACGAACGCUUCCAGUUCAUGGCGCAGUUCAUCACGCGCCAGAAGUCAUUCCCCUCCUUCAUGGACGUCUGUGUCGACCUGCGCCUUGCCGAGCUGAACAUGGCACCCCCUUAUACACCUCCAUCGGCGCUCGUCACUUCUACGUUCAGCAAGCCGCCUGCAUCACAGCCAGCCUCCUGGACUGCACCCUCGUGUCCUCCAUAGAACACCAGGGGGGCUCGGCUGGCAGUGAUCGUGGCCGGCGUCGUCGUGGCGGCCGUGGCUAAGGCGGCUCGAACAGCGGCUCACCUGGUGGUUCCCAGUGGCCCUCCAUCUUUAACCCGUGGACCGGGUCCAUCUACAUGUGGCCUAGGUCCAUGCCUGGUGGCCCUCACGGCCCUCCACAUCGCCUCGGCUCUUCACAGCACGUGCAGCAGCACACAUUAGCAGCCGGCGUGCCUUCAGGAUACUACCACCAGGUGCCCCGUCAGGCGCCUCCUCCUGCCUGGACGCCUACAGCACACCCGACGCCCCCUGCAUGGUCCCCUUGUGACCCUCAGUCCCUCGCCAACGCCUUCAGCACCGUCACCCUCACCCCGCCACCGAACUCAUCGGACUGGGUAAUCGACUCAGGUGCUUCGUCUCACAUUGUCUCCAACCCUGGUAUGAUCACCACAUCUCCAUCCUCCUCCUUUCCUUCCUCCAUUGUUGUGGGAAAUGGUGCCACUCUCUCAGUUGUUGGCACUAGAUACUCUACUCUUCCUGGCCUUUUCCAUCUCAACAAUGUCCUUAUAGCUCCCGACAAUAUUAAAAAUCUCCUUUCUGUUCGCAAAUUCAAAAUAGAAAGGGUUUCCUUUUGUACAAAAGUUAAUGAACUAAGUGUGUGUUUGUGUAUAUAUAAGUAAAGACUUCUUCACAAUCGUUUGUUUGUUUGACACCACAUGCACACACUCCCUUCUAUCAUCUAAGUGCAUCUAUGACUUAUGGCACAUACCAAAUUCUCCUCGCCCGCCAGCCACGAAACACCCAAUCUUCACAUGCUAUAUAUGAAUCCAGCAAUGUCCCCACGUGUUGUUAUCAUUGUAAAUGCAAGUAAAUUCAAUAGAGGGAUGCGAGGAGGCUAUGUGUCAAUCAAAACAAUGGUAUGCACACUGAGUCAUUUCAUCUUUCUUUUACUUCUAUGUGUUCUUCGAUCUCUUUGUCUCUUUUCAUCUCUCAUUUUGUAAGGCACCUUCCACAACUACGAAUCCAUUGAGUUUUUAUUUUGUAUUUUUAGGAGGUGGAAAUAUGAAAAAAAAAACAUGAUGGAGAGGAGGAGCAAAAUCAAAGGGAGGUUAUUGUAUUCCCUUUUCUUUUAACAAAGCAAAUUGGCCUAGUAGAAAUUUCAACUUCUAUGACAAAUUGUUUGGUUAACACUAGUAGAAAUUUCAACUUCUAUGACAAAGGAAGGUUAUUGUAUUCCCUUUUUUUGGUCAACACUAGUAGAAAUUUCAACUUCUAUGACAAAUUGUUUUCAUCACUGAAGGGGCCAAAUUUAUCAUAAUUUUAGUUUUGUGAUGAAUUUAUAAUAAAAAUUGGGUCGUCACAAAUACCUAGUCAAAUUUGCAAUUCUAUGACCAUUUAAAAAUCGUCAUAGAAUUGGUGAUGUUCUACGACAAAAACUAAGCAUCAUAGGCAACACAUGCUGACGCAAGGCUUCAUUUUGCCCUUAUUUGCAAGGCCAGUUUUGCCUUUUCCCCAUGAAAUAAUAUAUGUAUUUUAAGGGAGAGAACCUACAGAAUAGAUUUUGACUACGAAUUUCUCAUACAGUAGAUUGUCAUUUGCUAAUAAUCAGUAUUAUGUCACAAGGCACCUUCAGUGUUAUGCAAAAUGGUAGACUCGACCUCAUCAUAUUCAUGCAGUAACACAGCCUUGAGGGAUAUUUGAAGGCCAGCAUUAUCUAGUUUGCUGGUCUUAAAAGUCAUGGCUGAAAGUACUAUUUGCUGAUUUAUUGUGACAAAAAAAUAUUGCUGACUGGAAGAAAAAGUAUGGCUUAUAAGACAAGCGAACGGAGCCAGGCCACAAAAAAGUCAAUUCACUAUCCUCCGGUGUACAUCCCAAUAUGUUUCUUUCCUGCUAGACCCAAAAUCCUAUCACAACAAUGCUUUUCUACACUAGUGUCCCAGGGUAUGAUCACAGCACCUGACGAAAAAAGCCAUGGUUGCACGUACAAACCAAGAAAGAUCCCCUAUGCUACUCUAAUCACGAUGAUUUUACAGCAAGCUAAGUUGCAUGGCCAAGCAGAGCUCAUGGCACAAGAAUAGCAUGGGACAUGGGUCGUGCCUGCAUGAUGGGCACGAGUAAGAGUGGGCCAAGUGGUCUUUCUAUAUGUAUAAGUGGUCCAUAGUUAUUUAUCUUGUUGUCCAGUAUUUAGGUCCUUUUGUGCUCUUCGCCUCCUCAAUCAAGCUCCCCAUAGGGUUUUUUUUUGCAAAAAAGCUCCCCAUAGAUCAAGGUGUGUCUCCAUGGUUGUUGGCGGAUGUGGCAGCGGGACCAGCCAGGGGACCUUAGCUUGAGGCUCGUACCCAUGAUGGUUAAGGUCAAUUUCUGCAACUGCAUUUUAUUGCCUAAAGUCCCAUCCUUUUACCACAUUGUGGAUGCCCUAAUAAGGUGUUCAUCUUGUAGCCAAACAUAGGCUCGCAGGAAGCAAAGGACGAGCACAUGAUAGCGAGCACUAGACAGAAAAUUGUUUUCUAUAGCUUAUGCCGAUCCUUGUGCCUAUAAACUACUCUAGCAGUCUAGCUAUGGACUGCUCUUAUCUAAUAUAAAAAAGGCUACAGACAUAUAUAUGUGAAUUGGUGCACAAUGAAUAACAUAAUUCACGUUAGGUGACAUAUUGGAUACUCCUUCCAUCCUAAAUUAUAAGUCAUUCAAAUUUUUUUGGAGACUAAAAGCAUUUGAAGUUUGACCAAAAUUAUAGGAACCGUUACAAAGAUUUAUGACAUCAGAUCGGUAUACUAUGAAAAUAUAAUUAAUAGAGAAUCUAAUGAUACUUAUUUGGUAUCAUAAAAGUUACUAUUUUAUUAUAUAAAUUUGGUGAAAUUUAAGAUAUUUUGAUUCUACAAAAAAGUUACAAUGACUUAUAAUUUGGGACGGAGGAAAUACUUUUUAGCUACAUUGUGGCUGCCUUUGUGUGUCAUUGAAGAUCAUGCAUUGCUUUAGGAUGUUUGGUUUUGUUACAUUUUCCUCCGGUUUUAUCGCAAUAGUGCAUAGAAAUGUAAAUAAAGCUAAACAAAAUUAAGAUUAAGUUAAUUGGAUGGAUCUUAAUUUUAGUAGCUUUUGAUGUAGCUGUUGACAACCAAAAUUGUCAAAAGGAGGUGAUUUAAGAUGGGCCUGUAGAAACUGGCCAAAGUCCAUUCAUCUUGACGAAGUAAUCCGCCAUCGAAGACACCCCCUUGGACGUCGUUACUAGCACCAUGCGUGUGACGAUCACCCUUGCACGGCACUGAGAUGCGUCAUUGAAAUCGAGGAUGAUUGGCACGUGGGGUGCUGAGGGAGUCAACGUCGGGACCGGCAGUUUGCCGAGAGCGCCCGGAGUCGUGGGCACACCGGGUGCGGUGUGGGCGAUGAAGGCAGCUGUGGCCUAAAGAUGUGCAGCCGAUGGCGUCACGGACGGAGCAUUAGACAAGAACGAUCCGGUGUUCGUGGCCUGGGUGAGCAUGGCUGCCGCAGCUUGCAUUUUCUCGGACUCAGUGAUGCGGUGUUCAUCGAGCUGCAGCCUGGAUCGGGUCUUGAGGAACGACAACAGGCGGCGGUGAAGUGUGAUGUGUGGAAUCGCAUGAUGGGGACGAGGGUUAAGGCCGUGGACGAUGUUGUAGAUGAGGUCUUUGUCGUUCACCGGAGCCCCAAGAUCAGGGAGCCGGUCCGCCAUGACCUUCAUGCGGGAGCAGUAGUUGAGGACGUUGAGGUCACCUUGGUAGAAGUUGUGGAACUUGGCACCAAGGUAGACGGCGCGGGUGUCCUUGUUGUCACGAAAGAGGUUCCGAACGCCACGCCAGAUGGAGUAGGCGGUGUUGGUGUCCUCCGAGACCAUGGAGAGGAGCUCGGGAGAGAUACGGUUGUAGAACCAGGAAGUGAUGGCGCAGUCGUUCUGCACCCAAUCGUUGUCGCCCUUAGCCGCAGUGUCGUCGACAUGAUCACGAAGCCCGUACCGACCGAAGAUGGUGGACAAGGAGCGAGCCCAGGCGACGUAGUUCGCGUCAUUGAAAUCAAGGACGAUCGGCACGCAAUUCAGGAUGUUGAUGUCGUGGACGACAGACGGGGCACGGACUCGGUCUGGACGUGGACCGUGUAGGGGAGGAGCGACUCGGCAUCGGAAUUGUCAUCGGAACUCGACGAGGAAGACGAAGAGGAGCUCAUGGCGGCGGUGAGAGGAAAGCAGAGAGUUAGGCAGCAGAAAAUGUGGAUCAUAGAGCAGUUGAUACCAUGUAAGCAGGAGAAAGAAGAAUGAGACAACUCAUUUGUAUGGAUCUCAGGCUUACGCCUUUAUACAAGUACAUCACGGUCAGAUAACUGACGAAGCUAGCUACAUUCAAGGAGAGCCUUAGGACGUGUAAACAUGCACUGAACGUGAACAGAAUCUUCUCGCUAGCAGAUAUCCAAUCCGUGCGUUCCAUGUUUUGCACCAAUACUAAUUUGUGUUGUGCACCUUAUAGCACAGAAGUUUCAUUGACUAGAAUUUAUGGAUGUGGAAAAGUUAAUUAACUUCAGAGUGAAGACCAUUAAAAUAGAUGAAAAUGCAAAAAGGUAAAGUAGAAAUUCAACACAAGUUCAAGUUAUUUGCUCCAACACACAUGACAUGGAAACUCAUCCUGAUUUAGUGACUUAUCUUUUCCAUGUUUUAUUGCUUACAAUAUACCUUUUUUUCUUCAAAUAAUGAAGACACCAUCAUCUAAAGAGUAACCAAUUAAUUCUUUCAAUAGCAGUUUAUAUGAUAACUCAUUUUGCACCAAGGAGUACAACGUAACAGGGGACUGACAUGAUGACACAAUAUAAUGAAAAGACGGACAGGUUGAGAUGCCAAUAGGUGCUAGCAACUUAAUAGAUAACUAAGGUAGCUCUUUCCAUGGGAUGCAUUCAUGGUAAUUCUCUCCAUCUCUUUGUUGCUCAGCUCCUGCUUGCAGAUCCAGCAUCUGCAGGAUCCAUGUCCUCAGCUUUAUGAAAUUUGAGUGUAGAGGCUAUGAUCGCAUACAUCGUAGGUCUCUUCUUCCUGGGCUUCGCUUUCCGCAAAAUCUGCAAUAUGGCAGAUCAAGUGGCAUAACUUAUUACAAGACAUAGCAUAUAUGAUAAUAAUACUAUAUGGAACUAGGAUCAAAAGUUUGCAUCUCACCUUGCCGGCCUUCUUAAGUGCUGCUUUCACCUUGCUGGCCAGUCUGGUCCUCUUCUGUGACAUGUACUCCCUCGGUUCUCCAGAAAUCAAUGUUUCCCUCUUGUCCUUCUGUGUCAAUGAACAAAAUCAUAGCAAAGUAUGAUAAUAAUACUAUAUGGAACUAGGAUCAAAAGUUUGCAUCUCACCUUGCCGGCCUUCUUAAGUGCUGCUUUCACCUUGCUGGCCAGUCUGGUCCUCUUCUGUGACAUGUACUCCCUCGGUUCUCCAGAAAUCAAUGUUUCCCUCUUGUCCUUCUGUGUCAAUGAACAAAAUCAUAGCAAAGUAUGAUAAUAAUACUAUAUGGAACUAGGAUCAAAAGUUUCCAUCUCACCUUGCCGGCCUUCUUAAGUGCUGCUUUCACCUUGCUGGCCAGUCUGGUCCUCUUCUGUGACAUGUACUCCCUCGGUUCUCCAGAAAUCAAUGUUUCCCUCUUGUCCUUCUGUGUCAAUGAACAAAAUCAUAGGAAAGUAAGGUACCUGGAUUUUCUCAAACCCAUGCUGGAAUGAAUACAGAUGAGGUUCGUUAUGAUCAUCCGUUUCAACUUAGCACGUCAACGCUACUUUACAAAAAUAAAACACAAAUUAUGUAAAUGUAACGCAUCAAGGACCGUUUCAGUGCUGCCACUUACCGCGGAGUUGGUCCCCUCUGCUUCUUUCCUUAUGGAAGUUAGGUCUUCAAUGGCAGCAUCUUUCUUCUCAAGCAGUGAUGAGACCUUCUUGGACAUACCAUCUUGUGCCAUAUCCAUGUACUAAGUGACGAAGAAUUAGUGUUGUGUUUUGAAUGUAGGACUUGUUGCUUUGGAAGAACUGUAGGAUUGGUUAGGCCCCCUAUUUAUAUACCAUAUAGCUCAAGAAAAGCUAUUUAUGAAGUUUAUAUUUUGCUUGAAAGAAAAUCAUGCUACCUUUCAUUGCUUGCGUGGCUGCACCUAUUAAGGUUAUCAGUUUCAUCAGUUGCUGUCCAGGAUUUCUGAAAGCAGUUGAUAUUUUUGAACAAAAGGUGGUUCACAUGAUUUUCUUUGGCCAGAUCUCAACUUAUGGAAUCCUGUUUUGAAUAAUAGGUAGUGCACAUAGUUUUCUUGUAGCAGUUACUUUUACUGGCUGUUUUCAGUUACUCCCUUCAUGUCCUGAAUUUCUGCACCUUUGUCUUGUGAAGUGUUGUUGCUUCUUAAGCCCUGAAAUUACUUACAUUAGAAGGUUUGCCUUUUGGAUUCCUUCUCUUUUGGUUAAUCUUAUUUUUAUCAAUCAGAGUCAUCUUAUGCUAGAGGCUUGUAGGGUACAAAAACUUCACGUUGUUAAUAGGCCCCUACCACUCUGAACUGACAUCAACUGUCAACACUAUCAAGCAUCAUUGGGAAUGCCCACUACUGAAAUCAGACACUAAUUAGCAUUAGCCACAAUGAGUUAAUAGGCAAACUUAUAGAGAUUCAAUACGAGGGGGUAAUAACUUGGAAAAUGGUGUUUUAAGCAUAACAUACCAUUUCUACGAUACUAAAGGAGUAGUGACAAUGACAUGAUCAAGACUUACUAUAAACCAAUAGUUGUAGAGAAAGGUUUAAUUAGAGAUAAAUAUUAUGUUCAAGAUACUUAUGUAGGUAAUGAAGCUUUAAACUCCUACUAUUUGCUACAUAGACGAUAUAAAUCUCCAAAAUAGCAUUGCUACAGCUAGAAAUCUUUUUGUUUAAUGAACUGAUAUUUGCUAAUCUCUAAAAAAUAGAAAGGGUCUCCUUUUGUACAAAAGUUAAUGAACUAAGUAUGUUGCUUUCCUGCUAACCCAUAUCCUGUCACAACACUGCUUUUCUACACAAGUGUCCCAGGGCAUGAUCACAGCACCUGACGAAAAGAGACAUUGUUGCACGUACAGACCAAGAAAUAUCCCCUAUGCUACUCUUUUUUUUUUUGAAAACCGCAGGAGAGCUGCGUUUCAUUGCAUUAUAGAGAAGAAAAAUAGGAUGGGUCCCCAACAAGAUCCUCACUCAUACGGGGACCAAAUAUGAGUGAGGCAAUUACACACACCUUUACUGGGCUCAUAGAAAUCAGCUGAAGCUAGACCCUAACUAAGCAGCCCUAGUCACCCAACGCCAAACCAAGCUCAAGGAGCUUCUUUGCCCCAGCCAUGCACCAGAGACUAUGCUCAUUCUUUAGCUCACUACUCUAAUCACGAUGAUUUUACAGCAAGCUAAGUAGUAUGGCCAAGCAGAGGUUAUGGCGCAAGAAUAGCAUGGGACAUGGGUCGUGCCUGCAUGAUGGGCACGAGUAAGUCAGUUUUCUAAUAUUGUCAAAAUGUACAAUGGACUCCACUAUUUUGUUUCUCUCUCGUGCAUCGAGACAAUCGAAAAACAUAUAUAAAAAUCUACAUGAAGAAAAUGUAAUUUUGGGGAAGAUUUCACUUCAACAACCAGAAACUGGCUUGAGCCGCGGUUUCCAAACCGACAUAGGCCAGUUUCUUUUGGCCUUCUAGGCUGUUUUCUGGUUGUUAAAACCAGCCCAUGUUGAUUUAUAUGCUAUCCAAUUUGGAUUAGAGAUGUGUUUUGAUGAGAUUUUGCAAGGGAUUUUGAUCACCAAUGCGAUAAGUCCACCCAUGCACCCACCCUGUAUAUGUGAAGGACCACGACCAAUGGAACAGAGGACAAUCGGCCAAAACAUAAAUCAAUCAACUUUUUACCUACUCCAAUCUCUUCUAACCCAUUACUAUGAUUCUCCUCUCUUCAUCCAAAGAUCAAUGGUUGUGCCAUUGGCUUCCUAGCUGACACGUAGGGCAACCCACUAAAGUCUUCGCCUUAACCCCUUCCAGGUGAGGGUUUCAACGAUUCCUUUGUUAGUUUGUUUAUAAAUUAGCCGUUCUUCAUCUCGUAAGUGCGAUAGCUAUUCGUUUUUGGUUUAUUUGUUUGUAAACCUUGCAAUUCUUUAUCGCGCAAACGUGUUGGUGCUUUGUUCUUAGCUCAGUUUGUAACGCUUUGGGUGUGGCACUGGUACUCACAUCAACAGUAGCCACCAAACUUGGCUUCUGUUCAUUUGAUAACAGUUGGCUUCAUUUUAUUUGUGGAUUAAAUUAUUAUAGUGCAUAAUAAAACUAAAACAAAGCAAACUGACAAUUAAGCAGAUCAUUAUAAAGUGAAAAUCGGACAUUUAGCUGUUGCUGAUGUAGUUGUUCUUCUUGUCGUAGUAUCUGUCCCAGAUCAUGAUGCCACCAUAAUUGGGCACCUGCUGCGCAAACUGCAGCACGCCGUAGUAGACGUCCUUCUGGAACAUGUAGGCGUCCUUGUCCGCCUCCGGCGACGCGACGAUGUCGACGAACAUGCUGCUGGCCGAGUACGCUGCAGCCCACUUCUCCCACGCCUGCCUGGGAAACAAGGUGCAGUUGAGGUCGCCGUACAGCCGGACGUGGACACUGGGAGAAGAGCCCUGUGGUGAGCGCCUCCCCAUGCUUGAUCUAAUCUAACACAUGCUCCGGGAUUUCAGGACAAAUAAUUCAGAACCCUUUUAACAGAAAUCAACAUGUGUGUUGUUGUUUAAGUAAACUUCACUGACAAUGGUCCUUGAACUUGCUCCGAUCGAGUUCUCGUCUAGAUCAUAUCAGUAUUUUAAAAUUACAUAUUUAAAUCCCUAAAUUGUGAGUUCUUAUCCUAGCCAUGUAGCAUUGCACCGUGCUCUUGUUGGAUUUAUUUUGGGCUAGGCCCAUUUAGAUUUAAUAAAUCAAUAAACUCUAUGGUAUAUAAUUAUGGACAAUAUAAAUUACACCAGAUUGGAAUUCUAAAAGUCUUUUACUUGACUUAUAUGGUGGGAAUUAUUCCACUCAAAUUGAGAAGUUAAGAAAAGGACAAAGAAAUGUCACACGCGCGCGCGUCGCCGCCCUCGUAGGUCGGGCGUGGCGUGGCGAGGCAGGGAGGAGGGGACAAAACACACAACUUAGAACACAAUCCUCGCGACUGCCCAAUCCACCGCCACUGUUCGUCUUCCUCAAGCUUGUACGGGCAGAUUUCUCCUUCCCGGUGGAAAGAUCAUCUUCAUCCUCUACAUCAUAGAAGUCGAUCAAGGAUCGGGAUCCUCGGAGCGCAUGGGAGGGUAUGAUCCGUUCGUCUUCCUGCUGCAUUCCGUUUUCCUGUCCGUACACGUUAUAGUAGUGUAUUCAUGUGGUUGUGCAUACUAUCCUUGAUAUGUUUCGUAUGUUCUUCCAUAUUGUUUCUAUUUUUAUCUUUUAUAUAUUUCCGAUGUAAGAUCUAUGUUAUGUCUGCUUGUUUUAUUGGUUAAGUCAAAACGUUUCAUAUGUUGUGGUUCAGUCACAUCGUUUCAUAUAUUGUUUACCAUAUGUUUCAGUAGUUCUGUUUCGUCGUUUAACAUGUUGUCUCUUGUUUAUUGUUGUUUUGAGAUAUAUGUCUUGUCUUAUUAUUAUGUUUCAUAUAACAUGUUCCACAUGUUAAUUGAUCACAUGUUCCAUAUUACUAUGAAUAUGUUUGAUAUCAUGAUUUAUAUGAUUAAUUGUAUUAUAUAUGUCAUCAUCAUAAUGUUGAUUUAUAGAAUUAAAAUGAUAUGGAAAUUGCCUAAUUAUCUAACAGCUCUCCCUGCUACCCCACACCUACCUAUGUUGCAUCGUUAAUGCAGUGCCCCACCUCCGUUAAUCGAUUUAUGAAGGCGGGCGCUUAGAACGACCGCCUCCAAACAAUGAUCGAUCAGUGAAGGUGGGCGUCUUAAGUUGUCUACCUUGGUUAAUGAGUUGAUGAUUAACCGCCUCCAUUAAUAGCUGAGGCGGGCUCCUUAUGCCGCCUGUCUCUGUUAAUGAUUAACCGAGGCGGUUACUUGGCCGGUGGCCUGGCCACCGAUUAACGAUGGCAGCCGCACAGCCCGCCUGCCUCUGUUAAUUAAAGUUUAAUGCCAAGCAAAAAAAAUCAAUCCUGUAGGAUGGACAAACACGGUGUAGUGUGAUGUGGCCACACGAGUGUGGUGGACACAUGCAACACAUUGUGCACAAAGGGGUAGAUCGGGAUGGUACAUUAAUACAAGUUCAGAUAGCUGAGUUCGUAUCUUGAAAAAUCUGGGACCAAAAUGAGAUCUUGGGACAAGUUUAGGGAGCUCAAUGCACAAAAAAUGUGCAAUUUGAAAAUACUCGGAUCUAGAUGAAAACUUGAGACAAAUUUAGGGAGCUAAAAUAUGUAUUUUGAAAGUACCACGAUCUAGAUGAGAACUUGGGAUAAAAUUCAAAGACCGCUAAAAUAAACUGGACCCGCAGGAUAAAACAGCACCGGGCAUUGUGCUCAAGAAGAAGACCUUUCUUUACAAGUUAGAGAAAACUCCCAAACCUCUGCCCCACCUAUACACAGCGGCACAGCAGCUCCCAUGAGACUAGGCGGGGUUUAGACCUGAGCAUCUCCAAGGGCUUUGCAAAUAGACUUUGCAUUGACAAAUUUGGAAAAAAGACUAGAAAAUACCGCUCCAAUGGUUUUGCAAUUGAGGUUUGCAAUUUGGUAAACUUGGCAAAUAGAGGUUGAGGCUUUGCAUAUAUGCCUAACUCCUGCGAGCUUUGCAUCUAGGCAUUCGAUCGGUCCACGUCGGAUUUGGAGCGCGCGAUCUCCCUCCUGGAUUCCAUCUGUGCCGUCGCUGGAUGAAGGCGCAGGGCAAGGUGCGCCAGCCGGCCCUGGAAAAGCCUUGUACACGCACGAGAAGCACGUCCCUGGAAAAGCCAGCCGGCGAGCGGUGCCGCCUGCCGGUGACGCGACACUGGCCUUGUUUAGUUCCCAAAAAUUUUACAAAAUUUUUCAAAUUUCCUGUAACAUCGAAUCUUUAGACGUAUGCAUGGAGUAUUAAAUAUAGAUGAAAAUAAAAACUAAUUGCAUAGUUUGGUCGGAAUUGAUGAAACGAAUCUUUUGAGCUUAGUUAAUCCAUAAUUAGAUAAUAUUUGUCAAAUAUAAACAAAAGUGCUACUAUUCAUAUUUUGCGAAUUUUUUUGGAAGUAAACAAGGCCACCGUUCAGGCUGAAGUCGCUGGAUGUUCACGCGAUUGGUGAGCGUACGACUGAAAUCGUUGGAUGUUCACGGUCCUGGCGGCGGCCUUCGUGAAAAUUGGCGGCAACAGAAUGACGAGGCGUGCGAAAACAAAAAAGACGGUAAAAAAAAGUAGAACUUGGCAAAAUGCAAAACGGUUGGAAAUCACACCUUUUAGAACUUUGCAAAUUCAUUUGGGACUUUGCAAAUUCACACAAAUGCAAAACUAAAAAUGCAUAACCCUUGGAGAUGCUCAAUAAUAUAGGGCAGACGAGGAGAUUUUUUUCAACAUGCAAAUAAAUUGUGCCUCCUCCAGCCAACAAAUCCAUCCCCAUAGGGGGUUUGAACUCUGACCGGCAGGAUGCAAAAGCGCAUAGCUAGACCUACCGUUUGUCCCGUUAGCUCAGCAGACUGUUCCUUAAUACUGUAAGACAGAGCGUUUUAUCCUUUUAGUAACCAGAUAUCGCAGUACUCGUGCAGAAUCACCUAAUAUACUGAAGCUUGUUUAAUUUUCCUGUGUAUUGUCGAUCAAGAUCUAUAAUACCAGAUAUAGGUCCAACAAGUAGAAUACGGACAUGUCAGCAUGAGCCGCGUGCAGAGUAGAAAAUUUUAUCCCACCUCAGCUGGCUUCUGGGUUGGCACGGUCCAGUGCAUCUGUGCACCGGACAAGAGACGCGGUCUUCGCUGCUACCCAAGAGAGUUUCUUGGUCACUUUCGUUGGGUGUGCAUGUAAGAGUUUUCUGUGGACUGCAGCGCGCAUCUCCCGCCAUUUUAAAUUAUCUUAUGGGCUCCAUCACAUGACAAGAUUACAUAUAGAUGAGGACAUUGCAAGCACUACUGCAGAAAAUGUCAUAUAUGUUCCCUCCAUUUUGAAUUAUAGCGUAAUCAAAUUUAUACAAAAAAAAUUCAUCAACAUCUAUGUAUAACACCAACAUUUAAAAGCAUAUAUAUUGAGCAUAUAAAUAUAUAUGACCGGUAUCACUUGUGCUACUACUUCAUGCAAUACACUAUGUCGACUAUUGUGAAUGACCAGCAGCGCAUAGCUAGCAUAGCCAUACCUCUAGCACUGGUCCUGUACUCUAUGGGUGUACUUCUGAGUUCUGAAAAAAUUCUGAUGCUACUGUAUUCAUUAUAUAUAUCCAGCAAGGUUAUGCAGUUAGCUAGUGCUGCAAGUAGUAGAUCACAUGUGGUGCAAACAUAGGACGAUUUCACAAAUAUAUUGCUACAUAUAUUUCUAGAUUAAAUUAUAUGAACUUGAAAAUAUCUAAAUUUCAAACGUAUCCCUCAACAUAUCUUCCUUGGUCAGCGUUAUCGAUCACAUACAUCACCGACACAUUGACACAUGGGUAGUCUGCAUGUGCAGGCUCGACUACGUGACAGAAUCGGGUGUGUCGGUGGUGUGUGUUAUUAGAUCGUCUUCCUUCCGCUCCGGCCUCUUCCAGUACUGUACUGUGCGUGCCUAUAUUUGCUGAUCCUUCCUAUAUAUAUAUAUCAACGAAGAACAUGUGCCUACACUUCCGGUGCAGAUUUGUUUAGCUAGCUAUAUACAACAUGCACUAACGUGUGUGCAUUAGCAGCUACUCAAUCCAUUCCAAAUUGUAAGUCGUUUGACUUUUUUAAUAUCAAGUUUGACCACUCGUCUUAUUCAAAGUUUUGUAUAAAAUAUCACUUUUUUUUUUGUGUAUUGGUUUAUUAAUAAAAGUUCUUUAAGAAUGACUUAAAUUUGACUAUAUUUGCACAAAUGUUUUGAAUAAGACGAGUGGUCAAACUUGGGGUAAAAAAAGUCAAACGACUUACAAUUUGGAAUGGAGGGAGUACACACUAAUCCAAGUUGUAUAAAUCUUCGAAGCUUCACUACACCCAUCCAUCAUCACUUGUUCAUCACCAGUCCCCCAUUACAUCACAAUGGCGUUCCGGUGGCGUCUCCUCGUAGCGCUUGUCCUCGUCUCCCUGCUGGCACUGCCACUGGGGUCGCUGGCCGUGGCCGACGGCCUCGGCGACAUCGCCGUCUUCUGGGGCCGGAACAAGAGCGAGGGCACGCUGCGCGAGGCCUGUGACACGGGCGCCUACAACACGGUCCUCAUCUCCUUCCUCCGCGCGCCUUCGGCCACGGCAGGUACUCGCUCGACCUCUCCGGCCACCCGCUCGCCGGCGUCGGCGACGACGUCAAGCACUGCCAGUCCAAGGGCAUCCUCGUGCUCCUCUCCAUCGGUCCCAGCGCCGGCGCCGGCGCCGACUACUCCCUCCC